AAAGUAGGCGAACGGCUGAGUAACACGUGGGCAACCUGCCCUUUGCACUGGGAUAGCCUCGGGAAACCGAGGUUAAUACCGGAUACUCCAUAUUUGUCGCAUGGCGAAUAUGGGAAAGCUCCGGCGGCAAAGGAUGGGCCCGCGGCCUGUUAGCUAGUUGGUGGGGUAGUGGCCUACCAAGGCAAUGAUGGGUAGCCGGGUUGAGAGACCGACCGGCCAGAUUGGGACUGAGACACGGCCCAGACUCCUACGGGAGGCAGCAGUG
rnacentral:rRNA from 1 species